rnacentral:lncRNA from 1 species
UCGUCGGUCCCCAGCCCCAUCCCCGUGGGUCCCAUCCCAUCCCUGCAGCUCCCCGUGGGUCCCAUCUCAUCCUUAUGGGUCCUAUCUCAUCCCUGAAGGUGCCCAUGGGUCCCAUCCCAUCCCUAUGGGUCCCAUCCAUGUCCCCGUGGGUCCUGUCCCAUCCCUGUGGGUCCUGUCCUGUCCCCAUGGGUCCCAUCUCAUCCCUAUGGGUCCCAUCCCAUCCCUGCAGGUCCCAUCCAUGUCCCCGUGGGUCCUGUCCCAUCCCCGUGGGUCCCAUCUCAUCCUUAUGGGUCCUAUCUCAUCCCUGCAGGUGUCCAUGGGUCCCAUCCCAUCCCUGUGGGUCCCAUCCCAUCCCUGCAGGUCCCAUCCACAUCCCUGUGGGUCCCAUCCCAUCCCUGCAGGUCCCAUCCACAUCCCUGCAGAUCCCAUCCACAUCCCUGUGGGUCCUGUCCUGUCUCCAUGGGUCCCAUCCGAUCCCCGUGGGUCCCAUCUCAUCCCCAUGGGUCUUAUCCCAUCCCUGCAGGUCCCAUCCACGUCCCCAUGGGUCCCAUCCGAUCCCUGUGGGUCCCAUCUCAUCCCUAUGGGUCCCAUCCCAUGCCUGCAGGUCCCCAUGGGUCCCAUCCAUGCCCUGUGGGUCCCAUCCAUGUCCCCGUGGGUCCCAUCUCAUCCCUAUGGGCCUCAUCCCAUGCCUGCAGGUCCCCAUGGGUCCCACCCUGUCCCCGUGGGUCCCAUCUCAUCCCUAUGGGUCUCAUCCCAUCCCCGCAAGUCCCCAUGGGUCCCACCCUGUCCCCGUGGGUCCCAUCCCAUCCCUGUGGGUCCCAUCCCAUGCCUGCAGGUCCCAUCUCAUCCCUAUGUGUCCCAUCUCAUCCCUGUGGGUCCCGCCCCGUCCCCACGGGUCCCCGGCGCCCACCGGUGAUCUUGUCGCGGACCAGCUUGCAGGACUCGAUGUCGCCGAUGCUGCCGAAGAGGCUCUUGAACUCCUCCUGGCUCAUGUUCUGGGGCAGGUAGUUGACG